GUUGCAUGGCUGUCGUCAGCUCGUGUCGUGAGAUGUUCGGUUAAGUCCGCUAACGAGCGCAACCCUCGUCGUAUGUUAUAUGUGUCAUACGAGACUGCCGGUAAAAGCCGGAGGAAGGUGAGGAUGAUGUCAAGUCAGCAUGACCUUUAUAUCCAGGGCUACACACACGCUACAAUGGUCUGUACAAUGGGUAGCCAAGCCGCGAGGCGGAGCCAAUCCUGAAAGCAGGCCUCAGUUCAGAUUGCAGUCUGCAACUCGACUGCAUGAAGCCGGAGUUGCUAGUAACCGCAGGUCAGCAAUACUGCGGUGAAUACGUUCCCGGGUCUU
rnacentral:rRNA from 1 species